rnacentral:rRNA from 1 species
AUUGAACGCUGGCGGCAUGCCUUACACAUGCAAGUCGAACGGCAGCACGGGCUUCGGUCUGGUCGCGCGUUGCGAACGGGUGAGUAAUGUAUCGGAACGUACCUUUCAGAUGGGGAUAACGUAGCUAAAGUUACGCUAAUACCGCAUAUUCUGUGAGCAGGAAAGCAGGGGAUCGAAAGACCUUGCGCUGAUUGAGCGGCCGAUAUCAGAUUUGCUAGUUGGUGGGGUAAAGGCCUACCAAGGCGACGAUCUGUAGCGGCUCUGAGAGGAUGAUCCGCCACACUGGACCGGAGACACGGCCCAGCCUCCUACGGGAGGCAGCAGUGGGGAAUUUUGGACAAUGGGGGAAACCCUGAUGCAGCCAUGCCGCGUGAGUGAAGAAGGCUUUCGGGUUGUAAAGCUCUUUCGGCCGGGAAGAAAUCGCAUAGGCUAAUACCCUGUGUGGAUGACGGUACCGGAAUAAGAAGCACCGGCUAACUACGU